rnacentral:rRNA from 1 species
CCUACGGGAGGCUGCAGUGGGGAAUAUUGCACAAUGGGGGAAACCCUGAUGCAGCAACGCCGCGUGAGCGAAGAAGGCCUUCGGGUCGUAAAGCUCUGUCCUAAGGGAAGAAUAAUGACGGUACCUUAGGAGGAAGCCCCGGCUAACUACGUGCCAGCAGCCGCGGUAAUACGUAGGGGGCGAGCGUUAUCCGGAAUCACUGGGCGUAAAGGGUGCGUAGGCGGCCAAUUAAGCCAGGGGUGAAAGGCUACGGCGCAAACGUAGUAGGCUCUUGGGACUGAAUGGCCUGAGUGCAGGGGAGGGGAGUGGAAUUGCUGGUGUAGCGGUGAAAGGCGUGGAUAUUAGGAGGAACAGCAGUGGCGAAGGCGACUCUCUGGAUUGUGACGGACGCUGUGGCAGGAAAGGGUGGGGAGCAAACAGGAUUAGAUAGCCUAGUAGUC